rnacentral:rRNA from 10 species
GACUCUCGGCAACGGAUAUCUCGGCUCUCGCAUCGAUGAAGAACGUAGCGAAAUGCGAUACUUGGUGUGAAUUGCAGAAUCCCGUGAACCAUCGAGUCUUUGAACGCAAGUUGCGCCCGAAGCCUUUAGGCCGAGGGCACGCCUGCCUGGGCGUCACAC